rnacentral:rRNA from 1 species
GGCUAACUCCGUGCCAGCAGCCGCGGUAAUACGGAGGAUGCGAGCGUUAUCCGGAUUUAUUGGGUUUAAAGGGUGCGUAGGCGGUUUAUUAAGUUAGUGGUUAAAUAUUUGAGCUAAACUCAAUUGUGCCAUUAAUACUGGUAAACUGGAGUACAGACGAGGUAGGCGGAAUAAGUUAAGUAGCGGUGAAAUGCAUAGAUAUAACUUAGAACUCCGAUAGCGAAGGCAGCUUACCAGACUGUAACUGACGCUGAUGCACGAGAGCGUGGGUAGCGAACAGGAUUAGAUACCCUGGUAGUCCACGCCGUAAACGAUGCUCACUGGUUCUGUGCGAUAUAUUGUACGGGAUUAAGCGAAAGUAUUAAGUGAGCCACCUGGGGAGUACGUCGGCAACGAUGAAACUCAAAGGAAUUGACGGGGGCCCGCACAAGCGGAGGAACAUGUGGUUUAAUUCGAUGAUACGCGAGGAACCUUACCUGGGUUUAAAUGGGAAAUGUCGUAUUUGGAAACAGAUAUUCUCUUCGGAGCGUUUUUCAAGGUGCUGCAUGGUUGUCGUCAGCUCGUGCCGUGAGGUGUCGGGUUAAGUCCCAUAACGAGCGCAACCCUUACCGUUAGUUGCUAGCAUGUAAUGAUGAGCACUCUAACGGGACUGCCACCGUAAGGUGAGAGGAAGGCGGGGAUGACGUCAAAUCAGCACGGCCCUUACACCCAGGGCUACACACGUGUUACAAUGGCCGGUACAGAGGGCCGCUACCAGGUGACUGGAUGCCAAUCUCAAAAGCCGGUCGUAGUUCGGAUUGGAGUCUGUAACCCGACUCCAUGAAGUUGGAUUCGCUAGUAAUCGCGCAUCAGCCAUGGCGCGGUGAAUACGUUCCCGGGCCUUGUACACACCGCCCGUCAAGCCAUGGAAGCCGGGGGUGCCUGAAGUCCGUAACCGCGAGGAUCGGCCUAGGGCAAAACUGGUAACUGGGGCUAAGUCGUAACAAGGUAGCCGUACCGGAAGGUGCGGCUG